AACGAACGCUGGCGGCGUGGAUAAGACAUGCAAGUCGAACGGGAUUACUUUUGGUAGCAAUACCGAAAGUAAUUCAGUGGCGAACGGGUGCGUAACACGUGGGCAAUCUGCCGAAAAGUGGGGGAUAGCUCGCCGAAAGGCGAAUUAAUACCGCAUGUGGUGAGGGACGACAUCUUCCUGAAUCCAAAGCCGGGGCAACCUGGCGCUUUUUGAGGAGCCCGCGGCCUAUCAGCUAGUUGGCGGGGUAACGGCCCACCAAGGCUAUGACGGGUAGCUGGUCUGAGAGGACGACCAGUCACACUGGAACUGAGACACGGUCCAGACUCCUACGGGAGGCAGCAGUGGGGAAUCUUGCGCAAUGGGCGGAAGCCUGACGCAGCAACGCCGCGUGA
rnacentral:rRNA from 1 species